AUUGAACGCUGGCGGCAGGCCUAACACAUGCAAGUCGAGCGAGCGGCGGACGGGUGAGUAAUGUCUGGGACACUGCCUGCUGGAGGGGGAUCACUACUGGCAACGGUAGCUAAUACCGCAUACCCUCAGAUGUGCCCAGAUGGGAUUGGCUAGUAGGUGGGGUAAUGGCUCACCUAGGCGACGAUCCCUAGCUGGUCUGAGAGGAUGACCAGCCACACUGGAACGUAGACACGUUCCAGACUCCUACGGUAGGCAGCAGUGGGGAAUAUUGCACAAUGGGCGCAAGCCUGAUGCAGCCAUGCCGCGUGUGUGAAGAAGGCCUUCGGGUUGUAAAGCACUUUCAGCGAGGAGGCGUUACUCGCAGAAGAAGCACCGGCUAACUCCGUGCCAGCAGCCGCGGUAAUUC
rnacentral:rRNA from 1 species